GGAGUAGUCCCAGGUCGAUAUAGGUAAAGAAAGAAUGCGUGAAGAUUCCUUAUCUACGUCGAGAAGUGUUUCACCUGUUUCCUUACGGAGUCAGGGUGAUGGAGAAGUAUCAGGACCAUCUUUUGCUACGAUGUUAACCGCAAAACGCCAGCAACCAUCUUGGCCGCAACUUAAAUCAUCUCCACAAAUCUCGCAGGUGGAAUCUUUCCGUUUGAUUAACGUCACCGGCUCAAAGCUCACAGCCACGCCAAGGCAGGUGAGGGUAGACAGCGAUAACGAGGACGAAGAUUACGUCCCGGCGCCGGCUUACAACAGCAGUUUUAGCGAUGCUAUCGCGAUGGCUUUAGAGAAAGCCUCUCUGUCGCACGAUGUCGACGCAGUGGGCGAUAACAACGUAAAGUGCGGACAGAAAAAGAAGAAGAAGAACAAACAAAAGAUCUUGUUUGCUACGUCUAUGACCUACUGCGACAAAUAGUUCCAGGAAGAGAUGAUAAUUAUUAUUUGUGUUUUAAACAAAAACAAAUUUUGGUUGCACUACAGGUACUACUCAAGCAAGUCACAUAAAAUUUUGAUUUCUACAUAACAGCUAAUAUAAAUUACAUAGUAAUAUAAUACCGCAGAUUAAUUAUGUAUUAAUUUAUUUUGAAAUGUGUUAUAAAUUCUUUAAAUUCGUCUAUUUUCGUACGAAUAUGUUACUAACUUUUAUUGUUCAUGAUUAUAAUGGUUAUAAAAA